UACGGGGGGAGCAAGCGUUGUUCGGAUUUACUGGGCGUAAAGGGCGCGUAGGCGGUCGUGACAAGUCACUUGUGAAAUCUCCGGGCUUAACGUCGGAACGGUCGAAGUGAUACUGUCGGACUAGAGUACAGAAGGGGCGAACUGGAAUUCUCGGUGUAGCGGUGAAAUGCGUAGAUAUCGGGAGGAACACCGGUGGCGAAGGCGGGUCUCUGGGCAGUAACUGACGCUGAGGAGCGAAAGCGUGGGGAGCGAACAGG
rnacentral:rRNA from 1 species